rnacentral:misc_RNA from 1 species
AGGGAGAACUAUACGGGUGGAAUGAAUUUCAGCUAUCGUAAUAAGGCGUUGUUAUUUAAAAAUACGCUGUCUGUUGCUUUUAAUAAAGGUGUUAAUUCCAAUUAUGGCUCAUUUGCUGAGUAUUCAAGACUGAACCCUUAUUGGGUUCCUUAUGAUUCCAAUGGUAAUUAUAUGAAAGUGCUGGAAGCUGUAAAGAACCCGCUUAGCCCAGGAUCUUUAACGUACUACUACAAUCCAUUAUAUAACACAACGAUCAAUACAGUCAAUCAAACAGGGUAUACUAACAUAAUUAACCAAACAAAUAUGGAUUGGUUGAUCGGUAACGGGUUCAGGUUGACGGGUAAAUU